AUUGAACGCUGGCGGCAGGCCUAAUACAUGCAAGUCGAGCGGAUGAAGGGGGAUUGCUCCUCGCUUCAGCUGCGGACGGGUGAGUGAUUCCUAGGAAUCUGCCUUGUCGUUGGGGAUAACGUCAGGACACGGGAGCUAAUAUCGCAUCCGUCCUGAGUGUGAACGGGAGGGUUCUUCGGACCUCAAGCUACUUGAUGAGCCUAGGUCGGAUUAGCGAGUUGGUGAGGUAAAGGCUUACCAAGGCGACGAUCCGUAACUGGUCUGAGAGGCUGAUCAGCCACACUGGAACUGAGACACGGUCCAGACUCCUACGGGAGGCAGCAGUAGGGAAUCUUCCACAAUGGGCGAAAGCCUGACGGAGCCAUGCCGCGUGUGUGAAGAAGGUCUUCGGAUCGUAAAGCUCUGUUAGUAGGGAAGAAGAUAUGUAUGUUAAUCUGUGGCUAUUUUGACGGUACCAAAACAGAAAGCACCGGCUAACUACGUG
rnacentral:rRNA from 1 species